UUCCAUGAAAGUGUUUUUGGAU
rnacentral:miRNA from 1 species